CUGUUGCAGGCUACACGGGGGGCGGGUUGCGAGUGGCACCGACGUGGCGCCUUCAACUUCCGCGUCGGGACACGGAGGAUGUGAGGCUGGGCCUCCCCCCCCCCGCUUCCCCGACGCGCGCUCCGUUGAGCUGUCGUGCCGAAUCCGCCGUCGAAGUCGCUCGUUUCGUUCGUGAAGUAGUUGUAAACAGGGGGUGGGGGUGCCGCUACUCGUGCGUGCGACACGGAGCUACGGAUGCGUCCAACGGCGGCCGUGGUGGGGAGCGCACCGCGACCCGAACCGGGCACCAUCCCGGUUCGAUCCCCGCUCACCCACGCGCGGCUAUAACGCGCGGCUAUAACACACAUCUAUAACACACGGCUAUAACACACAGCUAUAACGCACGGAUAUAACGCACGGCUAUAACGCGCGGCUAUAACACACGGAUAUAACACACGGCUAUAACACAGCUAUAACACACGGCUAUAACACACAGCUAUAACGCACGGAUAUAACGCACGGAUAUAACGCACGGCUAUAACACACGGCUAUAACACACGGCUAUAACGCACGGGUAUAACACACGACUAUAACACACGGGUAUAACACACUGGUAUAACGCGCGGCUAUAACACACGGCUAUAACGCACGGUAAUCGCGUCUUGUCUGGGCCCUCCGUUCACGAAACACCCGCAAUGCUUGAAGUAUGGAUAAACAACGGCAGAGCUGACACGGCGUGCAGCAGCAGCAGCAGGAGGAGGAACUUCAUCCAGCAGUGGAUUGACAAAGGGCUGAUUGUCAUCAUAAUAAUAACAGCUAACACGGUGACUGGAAGAGGCCCAGUUCAGCCGGGUUGAGCUGUUCUCCUCUUCCGGUAGUGGGUAACAGAUCUGCUCGGGUCUAUGGAGGCCAAUAGAGACGUAGCAAUGAGCUAUCGAGAGAAGGCCCGAGCGGCUCUGAGUAUAGGCGACACGAAGCAAGCGAGAAGAUUCCUCGACAAGGCCCAGCAACUUUACCCCUGCGACGAGGAUCAUGAGCUACUGGCCCGCGUUAACGAGCAUGAAGAAGCCGCAGUGAUGUUGAAGGACGUGGAGAGGAUAUGCAAUGCGUGUAAUUACUAUGAAGUGUUGGAGGUCCAGUCUGCAGCGUCGACAGAGGAGAUCAGACGGGCAUUCAAGUUGCAGUCUUUGAAAGUUCAUCCAGACAAGAACCAUAUGCCAGGAGCUGCGGAUGCUUUCAAAAAACUCAACGCGUCUCACGAGGUGCUCACGGAUCCGGAAAAACGUGGCAGAUACGAUCUUGAGUGGCAUAAGUUCGACUCAAGAUGCAGCGACAGCGACAACGCCGAAAACAGCCGCCCCUUCCAACGCAGCGCGAAUCGCCACACGUGCUCCAGCAACGGCGACGGAGACCGCCACUCAUCCCCACGCAAGCCGUACUACUCAUUUACAAAAAGGGAAUAUGAAGCCAAGACCGACAGGUGUCGAGUGCAGGAGUUUUGUGCCGAUUUCAACUGGAUAUUAGUUGGCCUUAUGGUGGUAAUGGUGGCGAGUAUGAUGUACCAGGUAUCCUUAUACAAGUGGUCUCCGAAACUAAAGAUGCACAUAUUUCGGCUCUGAAGAGGUUGAGAAUCUCCUUCAUGAAUGAUGAGCAAGAUGACGUUCUUGUGGUGUCGACUCUGGUGUUACACUGCCCAUCUGUGGUACCAGCCUUUGCAGUACACACUUGGGUGACUGAAGUCGCCAUGCCAGACUCCUGCUGGACCAUGUUACUUCAUUGGAAUUGCACAAUUUUGCAAUGGACAGGCAAAAUCAUGAAAGCAUGGAAGCAAGCCAAAGUCAUCGUUAUUCUGCAAGCGGGAAAGCCACAGGUUUUCGCUGUCCAUCUAGAGGGCCAAUAUCCCUCUUAUCAUCCAUCCGCAAGCUUGCCAGACUUGCCUCCAUUAUCAAACCCUCCCCAACUGGCUCCCAAACAAGCUGGAUGUCGAACCGGUCAUCAAUGCUGCGAGCAGAUCGUUGCCUUCACCUCCCUCAUGGAAGAUGGUUUUCAGCAUCAACAGCCUCUCUGCUACCUUAGGCCACUUUCCGGUUUGCCUUUAAAGCUGCUAAAAUGUGUGCGCCUGAGUGAAAAUAGCGGCGCUCGGCAUACUGGAAAAAUAUUAUCGCCGACAUCAUUUGCGCAUGAGAGCACCGCCUGGACGAGGUGGUGUAACUUUGUGGGCAUUUAUCCUGGCGCCACACCUAAUCGAUGCGAUGCUCUGCUACCAUACUCUCAAGGUACACGUCGAUGCUAAACACAACCAAAAGAGAAUUGUGAAAAAUUUCCUCUUUCAAGGCUCGGUACUAACGCCGUCACUAACAUAUAUAAGCGAGCCGCCAUGAACAUCAUUUCGUACGUUCAUAUACGUAGGUGACCAUCGCCGCUAGCAAAGGGCACACACCUGAGAACAGCCAAUCUAAUGUUAUUGGAGGUAGAUUUCCCUUUCUGGAGACUCAAACCAAAUCCCUCCUAAACCACCACAAGUGCUUUCCACCUGAACAAUCAUGCAGCAAAUGCCAUCUUUGAUGUGUCCUGUGGUAGCCCAGUGCCCUAUGACUCCACUCCAAGAUAUCUAUGAGUUAUGGAUAGAAGCCUGACUUUAGGCCCCACAUGCAACAGAUCUAUGAAAAGACCAAAUCAAGAAUCGCCCUGCGGCAGAAACUUGCAGGAACGACCUGAUACGUUUCAGGUGAUGAGCUGCGAACUGACGCUCGAUCACUGACCUAUUCUGUGGCAAAAUACUGCCCUCUAAGCCUGUUACAGGAGCUCAUACACAAAGCUGCUAGACAUACGAUUACAUAACGCAAUGCACAUGACAACCGUAACGCUGAAAACGACACCAACCCCCUGGCUUCCAAAUAUCAGCAGAGACAUGCAAAAAGCAAGGGAGUUUAUGUAUCCUUGCCAACAACAACCUACCAAUCAACCAAGACCUCAGCAAUGAACAUCGCUGUUGACUCAAGUCCUGACCCACCCUUCUCGGACCGUGCUGUCACCAUCCUAGAGUCUCAUCCAGAUCCGGAAGAAUGCUGCGGAUAUCAAAAAUAAACACCAUUCGAGAUCAAGACAUUGCAUUUUCUGGCUUUCACAUUCCUCGAAGACUCUGGGGUACCAUCAACUAUAGAACAUCAACAGGCCAUUGCACACAUCUUCAUAAAAACAAAAAGACAAGCCACAGAUUGUGACCAUGCAACCUAAACCAUGGACAAUAUAGUAAACCAUUAUAGUCUGCGCUCCUUCAUUUGAGGAAUAAACUAGAACGAAACUUAAUUUUAUUUUACCAGGCAAGGCACACUUUUUCAGAAGCGCAUUUUGGCCACAUUAUAUUUCAACGAAGUGGCUUAUCAAGUGGAAAUGUAUAGCAGCCAAAUACUCUAAACGCACGUUUCUAAAUCAAAACUACACCCAAUCUCUUCUGAAGCCCUCGUGGCUAGCAGACCCUGACAUUGGCAUUUAGCUUCUGAUCACUUCUAUAUGCAAGAAGAGAAUUGGAAAUCACCGUGCUUCACACUUUAGGGGGUCACUGUGUCAGGUACACAAACGCGAAGGCAUUGACACAUCAAACCUCAAGUUUGCGUUUCACUUCCGUAAAUGGAAACAAACCGGUUUGUUUACCCGCCAUGGGUGCUGUGCCCGUUGCAUGUGCAUCAAGUUACUCUGGCCACACCGUUUGGCUUGGCUGUCGGAGCCCAUGGCAUGGAUAUGAGAGCAGCACACAGUUGGAGAUAGCAGCCCCCACAGUGUCAGGGAGGAGGGGCCCGAGCACCCCCUACCCUUCCCUCACCUUGCUGGAGGCUGCAACAGAGAUACAAUGCAGUUAAUUUACCUGUCCUGGCCUAUUAAACAGUCACCUAGAAUGUGCCAUAUCUCAUUAGCAGAUCUCAGAAACCUGGACAGUGCUUGGGUGUGUGGCCGCCGUGCGUAACGAGUGGUAAAGGCUGUGGAGGUACGUGGUGGGCAAUAGAGGGAAGUUGUGGAGAAAUCCUCCUGUUUCGGUCUUAAAUCGAGGAGAUAAAUGCGAUGUCGUCACUUGUGAGCCAAUCAGGUGUGAAUGUCAGAGGAAGAAACAUCAUUUUAACAUUAUUCUUGGUUCUUUCGGUAAAGUCACGUAAAAGGGAAACAAUAAAAUAAUAAAAAUAUAAAACAAGAAAAUUCUCACGAUGUUUCUACCGCAACACAAGCAAUCAU